rnacentral:rRNA from 1 species
GACGAACGCUGGCGGCGUGCUUAACACAUGCAAGUCGAGCGGUAAGGCCCUUUCGGGGGUACACGAGCGGCGAACGGGUGAGUAACACGUGGGUGACCCUGCCCUCAGCUCUGGGAUAAGCCUGGGAAACCGGGUCUAAUACCGGAUAUGACUCCAUGACGCAUGGUUGUGGGGUGGAAAGCCUUGUGCGGCUGAGGAUGGGCCCGCGGCCUAUCAGCUUGUUGGUGGGGUGAUGGCCUACCAAGGCGACGACGGGUAGCCGGCCUGAGAGGGCGACCGGCCACACUGGGACUGAGACACGGCCCAGAC